AAUUGCAGGAGCAUGAACUUGUUUAUUUUUAUCAGGAUUUAAUUUCUAUCCGAAUCCUCACUCCUUGGGAAGUGGGAGAAUUAAACGGUCCGGGGAAGGUCGGUGUCACUUUUUGACAAGUGAAUAGUCGAAUCUGUGGAAAGUUUCAUUCAAUUGCACAAAAUGGACUUCGUCCACGGCAUUGUGCAUGUAAAUCUGCGAGGCACAGCCGGCUACCAUUGGACCGUCAACAAUAUUUUUCGGC
rnacentral:sRNA from 1 species